AUACUCUUAGCGGUGGAUCACUCGGCUCGUGGAUCGAUGAAGAACGCAGCUAGCUGCGAUAAUUAGUGCGAAUUGCAGACACAUUGAGCACAAAAAUUUCGAACGCAAAUUGCGCCAUCGGGUUUAUUCCCCUUGGCACGUCUGGCUGAGGGUCGGU
rnacentral:rRNA from 1 species